UACGGAGGGUGCAAGCGUUAAUCGGAAUUACUGGGCGUAAAGCGCACGCAGGCGGUCUGUCAAGUCGGAUGUGAAAUCCCCGGGCUCAACCUGGGAACUGCAUUCGAAACUGGCAGGCUAGAGUCUUGUAGAGGGGGGGUAGAAUUCCAGGUGUAGCGGUGAAAUGCGUAGAGAUCUGGAGGAAUACCGGUGGCGAAGGCGGCCCCCCUGGACAAAGACUGACGCUCAGGUGCGAAAGCGUGGGGAGCAAACAGG
rnacentral:rRNA from 1 species